GAUGAACGCUGGCGGCGUGCUUAACACAUGCAAGUCGAACGAGAAGUGAAGACGGAAACCUUCGGCCGGAAGGCUUUAUUUCUAGUGACGGACGGGUGAGUCACGCGUGGGUAACCUGCCUCCUACAGGGGGAUAACAGUUGGAAACGACUGUUAAUCCCGCAUAAGACCACAGCACCGCAUGGUUCGGGGGUAAAAACUCCGGUGGUAUGAGAUGGACCCGCGUUCGCUUAGCGGGCUGGCGGUGUCACGGCCCACCAAAGCGGCGAUGGAUAGCCGAGCUGAGAGCAGGACAGGUCACGAUGGAACUGAGACACGGACUCAUCUCGGACGGAGGGGAGCAGUAGAGAACACUGCACAAGGGGGGAAACUCUGAUGCAGCGACGCGGCGUGAGUGAAGAAGUAUUUCGGUAAGUAAAGCUGUAUCAGCAGGGACGAAAAUGACGGUACCUGAGUAAGAAGCACCGGCUAACUACGUG
rnacentral:rRNA from 1 species